AUCAUUUCUGGGCUUAUUCUCUGGCCAACACUCAGCCACAUGGCCACACCCAAGUGCAAGGGAGGCUGGAAAAGGUAAUCUAGCUCUGGGACCAAGAAGAAAGAGAAGCAGGAUUUGGAAAACCCAUGGGACUCUCUGUGAAAUACACCAUUUCCCCAAUCCCACACCAGGAAACAUGACUUCAGACAGGAUCCCAGAAGUUUUCAGGUGGCAGUUGAACAGGAGCCCAGCUGCAGUGGGGGAUCUGGGAGGCAGAAGAAGCUAGAAGUGAAGACUACUCACUUCCAACCUCAAUGUGGACAGGAGCGCUGUCUGAGCCUACUCAUAGUCUCAUGUAGUUACCCCUGCAAAAGAAGUAACAUACGGAACCCUGUGAAUUAGGCUGACUUCAUCCUGGAAUCACAGCGGGGCUUAAGGUCCCAGACCGCCAGCAGUAUGGAGAAUGGAGCCAGUAGUGGUGAUUUCUCCAUUUUUGCCUCUUCGUGAGCCUCACCAGCCCAGGCAUGAUGCUCUUUUCCACGUCCUAGGACUUCCCACUCUGACACAGGUCACCCAGUUCAGGAACCUACUCCUCCACACAUCCAUCGGGGGCUCUGUCAACAGCCCCCGAAGCAGGUGCAGACCUGGAAGACUCCGUUUCAUGCUCUGGCACUUCGGCUCCACACUUAUUUUCUACCUUGCUGCUGCAGCUACUGUUCUCCCUUGUGCUCUCUGAAACCACUGCUGACAGAUCCUGAGUGGCCCCUGGCAAACAGGUAGAGAUACGACAUGGAGAAGACCUAAGAC
rnacentral:lncRNA from 1 species